AUACGUAGGUGACAAGCGUUAUCCGGAUUUACUGGGCGUAAAGGGCGUGUAGGCGGUCUUGCAAGUCAGAAGUGAAAUUCCUGAGCUCAACUCGGGCGCUGCUUCUGAAACUGCAGGACUUGAGUGCUGGAGGGGAUAGCGGAAUUCCUAGUGGAGCGGUAAAAUGCGCAGAUAUUAGGAAGAACACCGGUGGCGAAGGCGGCUAACUGGAGAGGAACUGACGCUGGGGCGCGAAAGCGGGGGGAGAAAACAGGAUUAGAUACCCUGGUAGUCCACGCCGUAAACGAUGAGUACUAGGUGUAGGGGGUAUCGACUCCCUCUGUGCCGCAGUUAACACAAUAAGUAUUCCGCCUGGGGAGUACGGCCGCAAGGUUGAAACUUAAAGGAAUUGACGGGG
rnacentral:rRNA from 1 species